rnacentral:lncRNA from 1 species
CGAGGGGCGGCGGGCUAGUAACCAUAGCGGCUCGCGUGGGUCGGCUGGCAAGUAACCAUAGCGGCGAGCGUGGGGCGGAGUGUGGCUCGGUAGUCCUCUGCGUGCCCUCCUGGGAGCUGGGUGCUGUGAGUCCUCCCCUAGCGGGCUGGUCUCGGCGCGGAGUCGGCGCCGAACCCGAGCUGCUGCUCUGGGGCGUGUGCCUAGGGCGCAGGGCUGGAGCGCGGGGGCUGCGCGGUUGCUCGCGGCUCCGCUGAGGUCUCUAGGAAAGGGGGCGAUUUGAGGGUUCCGCCGUGACCGCUUCCAACGGCGGACACGCGCGCUCUGGACCAGAGCCGUUGCCCGCUGUCUCGUCACCCGAAGCCUCCUCCUGACGCCGUGCUAGUGCGAGGGUCUCCAGGGGAAUUCGGGGCACAAGUCGGGCCGGAGCAUCCGGGCGGCCGCUUGAGAUCGGCGCUUUGAGAACUGAGCGCAUGUGGAGUUCGGAGGAAAAGGGCUCAGUUGUGGAAGCUGAUCGAGGAAGCCUAAGCAGGCUCUGUGAAGUGGGAAUAGUGGUAUUUGAGUCAAGGUUUGCUUAACUGGAAAGCCCGUGAGAAGAAUGGAGCAGUUGAGAAUGUGGAAGCUCCAGAGUUUUCGGCAAUUUCUCUUCUUUUUUCUUGGGAUGAGGAGAGGUGAAUAAAUAGAUUGAAGAUGGAAAAUCCCCAAGACAUUUUCUCAAGUAAUGGUGGCUGUCUAAGUGAUAUAGUUAUAGAAAAAUACCUGGUUGAAUCCAAGGAGUCUGUGUCUCAUGUUCAGCUUGCUUGCAGCAUGCAGGACUGUGCUUUCCCUUUGGAUGGAACUGAACUUUGUAUAUGGAACACUAAGGAUCCUUCUCAUCAGCUUCUAAUCCUACGAGGACACCAUCAGCCAAUUACUGCUAUGGCUUUUGGAAAUAAAGUGAACCCACUUCUAAUC